CCAAAAAUCCCGGGACGCCUAGGGGUCGGGCUUUCUGGAGUUCCCUGUUGACGCGAUUCCUGCCUUUGGAGCGUGUGCAGAUUUAGGAGUCUGCCUCUUCCCAAAGGCGUUGCUAAAUUGAAUUUGAAGAAUGCGGAAGAGAAUCCCAGCGGAGAAUGAGAGCCAACCCGGCGGGCUUCCUGAGCGUGGCCGGGGUAGUCCUGAGAUUUUAACUCUAACUCAAGGAGUGACUUUGGCCAGCUGAUCCAGCCUGUCAGAGCUGGAUGGAGCCUCAGUUGGGUACCUGACAAGAAAUGGGCUGCUUCUCCAUUUAAAUGGAACACUAACACUAUGGACACCAGCCAGUGGGGCCCCUGCAGUCAGGUCUCUUCCAUGGAAGCCCUGAUCUGCGUAAUCACUGAAUAAAAACCAGGAAGACUUCCGGGGUUCAGAGGGUGACUCCAUGUUACCCAGGCCCUAAAUGAUGGGAUCUUCAAGACAAAGCUCUGCCAAGGGGUGUCCAACUUUUUGGCGUCUCUGGGCCACACUGGAAGAAGUUUUCUUAGGCCGCACAUUAAUUACAUUGCAAAAUGUAAUCACAAAAACAUCUCAUGUUUUAAGUAAAUUUACAGUUUUGUGUUGGGCUGCAUUCACAGCCAUCCUGAGCUGCACGCAGCCCGGGGGCCACAGGUUGGACACUCCUGUAUGAAGAGAACAAGCCAAAAGAACCUAAGUUCCCAGCUACUCCAAAAGGUCCACAGCUGGCUGUUGACACCACUAAUGCCCAAUGCAUCAAGUGGAUCAAGGCCAGGUGUGAGAAGAAACGAAGUCAGGUAGACAGGGUCUGCUGCACCUCUUCCCCCCAAUUCCACUCAAUGAAAACAGUUCUCUAAUACUGCCUUUUCCUAGUUUUCUUCCCAUCUCUCUGACUACAUUUUGUACCUUGCAUCAGAGUUGCCUAUCAUUCUAAGUCCUAAUUCCACUUUUUUUAGUAUGUCUGGAGUCUGCAUAUUUUCACCUUCACUUGAUGUAAAAAAUUGAAGUUGCACAUGCUCUUUUAUCCAGUAAUUCUGCUUACAGGUAUGUUUCUUUCCUGGGCAAACUCUCUCAUUUGUGCAUACUGGUACACAUUACGGGUACGUACGGAGCAGGACUGAGUAUGAUGGUAAAAGGAGGAACCAUAUAAAAUUCUAAGAACUACUGUUCAUUUAUAAAAUAGAAUGCUCUACAGCAGUGUUUUUUUUCUCUUUAUUAACUUUAUUUAAGUGCCACUAGUGAACAAAGUUAUACAGGUUUCAGGUACACAAUUGUGCAGUACAUCAUCUGUACACUGUAUUAUGUAUUCACCAUUCCACGUUUAUACCAGAAGUUUCCAAACUUCUGGUCUUUUGAUCUCUUUGCACUCUUAGAAAUUACAGUAUUUGUCCUACCAAAAGUUAAAGUAAUUUUUUGAAAAUUUGUCAUUUUAAAAAGAUGUAAUUACAUGUCUACAUUUUUAUUUUAAAAAAAUGUAUUUCCCAGCCCUGGCUGGUGUAG